GUAAGGCUGAGUAUUAGGCAAAUCCGGUACUCGUUAAGGCUGAGCUGUGAUGGGGAGAAGACAUUGUGUCUUCGAGUCGUUGAUUUCACACUGCCGAGAAAAGCCUCUAGAUAGAAAAUAGGUGCCCGUACCGCAAACCGACACAGGUAGUCAAGAUGAGAAUUCUAAGGUGAGCGAGCGAACUCUCGUUAAGGAACUCGGCAAAAUGACCCCGUAACUUCGGGAGAAGGGGUGCUCUUUAGGGUUAACGCCCAGAAGAGCCGCAGUGAAUAGGCCCAAGCGACUGUUUAUCAAAAACACAGGUCUCUGCUAAACCGUAAGGUGAUGUAUAGGGGCUGACGCCUGCCCGGUGCUGGAAGGUUAAGAGGAGUGGUUAGCUUCUGCGAAGCUACGAAUCGAAGCCCCAGUAAACGGCGGCCGUAACUAUAACGGUCCUAAGGUAGCGAAAUUCCUUGUCGGGUAAGUUCCGACCCGCACGAAAGGCGUAACGAUUUGGGCACUGUCUCAACGAGAGACUCGGUGAAAUCAUAGUACCUGUGAAGAUGCAGGUUACCCGCGACAGGACGGAAAGACCCCGUGGAGCUUUACUGUAGCCUGAUAUUGAAAUUCGGCACAGCUUGUACAGGAUAGGUAGGAGCCUUUGAAACGUGAGCGCUAGCUUACGUGGAGGCGCUGGUGGGAUACUACCCUAGCUGUGUUGGCUUUCUAACCCGCACCACUUAUCGUGGUGGGAGACAGUGUCAGGCGGGCAGUUUGACUGGGGCGGUCGCCUCCUAAAAGGUAACGGAGGCGCUCAAAGGUUCCCUCAGAAUGGUUGGAAAUCAUUCAUAGAGUGUAAAGGCAUAAGGGAGCUUGACUGCGAGACCUACAAGUCGAGCAGGGUCGAAAGACGGACUUAGUGAUCCGGUGGUUCCGCAUGGAAGGGCCAUCGCUCAACGGAUAAAAGCUACCCCGGGGAUAACAGGCUUAUCUCCCCCAAGAGUUCACAUCGACGGGGAGGUUUGGCACCUCGAUGUCGGCUCAUCGCAUCCUGGGGCUGUAGUCGGUCCCAAGGGUUGGGCUGUUCGCCCAUUAAAGCGGUACGCGAGCUGGGUUCAGAACGUCGUGAGACAGUUCGGUCCCUAUCCGUCGUGGGCGUAGGAAAUUUGAGAGGAGCUGUCCUUAGUACGAGAGGACCGGGAUGGACAUACCUCUGGUGUACCAGUUGUCGUGCCAACGGCAUAGCUGGGUAGCUAUGUGUGGACGGGAUAAGUGCUGAAAGCAUCUAAGCAUGAAGCCCCCCUCAAGAUGAGAUUUCCCAACUUCGGUUAUAAGAUCCCUCAAAGAUGAUGAGGUUAAUAGGUUCGAGGUGGAAGCAUGGUGACAUGUGGAGCUGACGAAUACUAAUCGAUCGAAGACUUAAUC
rnacentral:rRNA from 1 species